UCUUUAUAGAUUUUGGACACUAGCCCUUUAUCUGAUAUGUCGUUUGCAAAUAUCUUCUCCCAUUCUGUCAGUUGUCUUUUGGUUUUGUUAACUGUUUCCUUUGCUGUACAAACCUUUUGAUCUUGAUGAAGUCCCAAAAGUUCAUUUUUGC